rnacentral:rRNA from 1 species
GUCCUUGCAGUAAUGCAAGGCAUACGGCUCAGUAACACGUAGUCAACUUACCCUAUGGACGAGGAUAAUCUCGGGAAACUGAGCAUAAUACUCGAUAGAUCAUAAUGCCUGGAAUGGUUUAUGGUUGAAAUGAUUCGUCGCCAUAGGAUGGGACUGCGGCCUAUCAGCUUGUUGGUGAGGUAAUGGCCCACCAAGGCGAUUACAGGUACGGGCUCUGAGAGGAGAAGCCCGGAGAUGGGUACUGAGACAAGGACCCAGGCCCUAUGGGGCGCAGCAGGCGAGAAAACUUUGCAAUGUGCGAAAGCACGACAAGGUUAAUCCGAGUGAUUUCUGCUAAAGAAAUCUUUUGCAAGUCAUAAAACCACUAGUGAAUAAGGGGUGGGCAAGUUCUGGUGUCAGCCGCCGCGGUAAAACCAGCACCUCAAGUGGUCAGGAGGAUUAUUGGGCCUAAAGCAUCCGUAGCCGGCUCUGUAAGUUUUCGGUUAAAUCCAUGUGCUCAACGCAUGGGCUGCCGAAAAUACUGCAUAGCUAGGGAGUGGGAGAGGUAGACGGUACUCGGUAGGAAGGGGUAAAAUCCUUUGAUCUAUCGAUGACCACCUGUGGCGAAGGCGGUCUACCAGAACACGUUCGACGGUGAGGGAUGAAAGCUGGGGGAGCAAUCCGGAUUAGAUACCCGGGUAGUCCCAGCUGUAAACGAUGCAGACUCGAUGAUGCAUUG